CCUGUCCCUAGAGACAUUGCAGAUGUUUUGCUGUGUCACAUGUACAUCAGUAGGUGGCAGAGAGGGGAGAUACUAGGUCUACAGUCUAUUCUGAUGUAUGAACAUUUGAAUUAGUAGCCUAACAUU
ensembl:snoRNA LOC120100447 small nucleolar RNA SNORA17